AUGAUAAGAUGCAACACGCAAGCAAAUGACAUGGUAACAACAGCGAAUAACUGGAGGACACCUGGCACAUCGGUCUCGGGGCGCUACAUAAGCGGAGACGGCAGGUUCAUCCUACACUUUGUGCAGGAGGGUGAUAGGCUCCAUGUGCUUAGGGCUGGGCCGUGGCACUGCCACAAUGACGGAGUCAUCUUCGCGCCUUUCGACGGUACAGGCAAUGCAAGUGAUGUCCGUCUCGACUCCAUCCGAGUGUGGGGGAAGAUUCAGGGGCUCCCGUACGAACUCAAGUCGGAGGAGAUGGGCAGGGAGUUGGGAAAGAAGCUGGGUACCGUCAUCGCCGUCGCCCAUAAGAACAAGCUGAUCGUUGAUAAGCACCUCCGCGUGCGUGUUGACAUGCCGGUACAUCGUCCCAUCAAGUCAUACAUCACUGCCACCCCAACUGGAACUUCCAAUGUUCUGAAGUACUUCGUAAAAUAUGAAAAACUCCUAAAUUUUUGUUUUUGUUGUGGACUGCUGGGUCAUACCACAGAGAAGUUUUGCAGCAUUCCUAAGGAGCAGCGUACAGCGGUCUUCUCCUCCAACAUCAAGGCCCUCCCAAUCUGGAAAGAGAGAAGCCUCAAUAGUUCAGCGCAGUCUUUGGGUCCGGUGCGCUGUUCUUUGGAGUUUGAAGGAAUGUUGGCACCGGGGGAGUUGGAGAAAGAAGAAGAGACUGAGAAGCUCCAAGCCAAGGUCCCGGAUGUGGUCAUCAAUGUGGUGACUACGGCCGUCAAGCAGCUUAUGGUUUCUUCAGUGGGAGAGACCUCUAACAUUGCGGCUGGCCGGGAGACGUCGGGCAUGAACUCUGCUCCUGUUGAACAGUACGUUGCGGGGGCAAUCGUCCCUUCUGCUAGGAAUCCCGCGGGGAGGGGACAGGCUGCGGACAACUCGCCUGGCCCGGAGGGUCGUGGGCGUACUGAAGCUGCUGGCGUGCUUGUGGGGAUGGCUGAUGCUGUCAUUCCCACGGCAUGA
rnacentral:rRNA from 1 species